UGAUACCGUAUCACUCUAUAAUUUCUCGGAGGAUGGCACGCAUUGCUUCAUGAUAUCUUGAAUACUUAAUAUUCGUAUUAUAUAUAACCGUUUAACUUAGUAGUAUACUUCUCCUCAAGAUUUCAACAAGAGAAAUCACCCUCCGAUUAUCUCAGGUUCAAAGUACUAACCCACAACCACAUACUUGCAUAAGAUAGUUUUGCGCAAAGUAAUAUGAAUGACAAUAUUCCGC
rnacentral:lncRNA from 1 species